rnacentral:rRNA from 1 species
AUUGAACGCUGGCGGCAGGCCUAACACAUGCAAGUCGAGCGGAUGACGGGAGCUUGCUCCUUGAUUCAGCGGCGGACGGGUGAGUAAUGCCUAGGAAUCUGCCUGGUAGUGGGGGACAACGUUUCGAAAGGAACGCUAAUACCGCACACGUCCUACGGGAGAAAGCGGGGGACCUUCGGGCCUUGCGCUAUCAGAUGAGCCUAGGUCUGAUUAGCUAGUUGGUGGGGUAAUGGCGCACCAAGGCGACGAUCCGUAACUGGCCUGAGAGGAUGAUCAGUCACACUGGAACUGAGACACUGUCCAGACUCCUACGGGAGGCAGCAGUGGGGAAUAUUGGACAAUGGGCGAAAGCCUGAUCCAGCCAUGCCGCGUGUGUGAAGAAGGUCUUCGGAUUGUAAAGCACUUUAAGUUGGGAGGAAGGGCAGUAAGCUAAUACCUUGCUGUUUUGACGUUACCGACAGAAUAAGCACCGGCUAACUCUGUGCCAGCCGCCGCCGUAA